rnacentral:rRNA from 1 species
UGGUUAAUCUUGGACAAUGGGCGCACGCCUGAUCCAGCAAUGCCGCGUGUGUGAAGAAGGCCUUCGGGUUGUAAAGCACUUUUAUCUGGAGCGAAAUCUGCAGGGCUAAUACCCAUGCAGUCUGACGGUACCAGAGGAAUAAGCACCGGCUAACUUCGUGCCAGCAGCCGCGGUAAUACGUAGGGUGCAAGCGUUAAUCGGAAUUACUGGGCGUAAAGCGUGCGCAGGCGGUUUUGUAAGACAGAGGUGAAAUCCCCGGGCUCAACCUGGGAACUGCAUUUGAUACUGGAUCACUAGAGUGCGGUAGAGGAUAGUGGAAUUCCCGGUGUAGCAGUGAAAUGCGUAGAGAUCGGGAGGAACACCAGUGGCGAAGGCGACUAUCUGGACCAGCACUGACACUGAGGCACGAAAGCGUGGGGAGCAAACA